UCCAUCUUUAAUUAGUUAUUUUUUGCAUGUUUUCUUAGCACUAUCUCAGUGCAGAUAAACUAAACACAGCAGACACGAUGUUGUAGGACAGGCAAAAUCAGAAACGAAAGAACAGGCAGGAAGUCAGGGCAGGCAGCAAACAAUCAGAGAGUCAAGGCGCAGAAACUGAGUCAAAAACCGGAAUCAAAACAAACAGGAAACGCUCAGAAUGACUGCUAAAGCAAAUUGAGACUUCGCACUGAGGUCAACUUCAAGUUCGUAUUUAUACACGCCGGUUAAUAAAAACGGUUAUUAUUCUGGAGACGGCAUAAUAUUCUCUCCGUUGCUGGUUGGGAAGUGAGGCAGAACUUCUCCAUCAACAAACCCAAAAAGGACAAAAGGCCAGAGGAAUAAAGUCAUGUGGAAUUUCAUCAAUGAAGAUGAUUAUGUAAUCUAUAUUAAGAAGUCUGAUGAAGAGGUUUAAGACUUUAUUCAAAAUUAUUUUAAUAAACCAUUAUGUGAUAGAAAAGAUGAUAGAAAACGUGAUAGAAAAAUUGAGCAUUUUUGAAAAUGCUCAAAAACUAGACUCAAAAAAAUGAAACAUGGCUGUUGUUGGUUCAGAGAAUAUAAAUAAAUUUGAAGUAUAUAAUUACCUUUUACAUUUGUGCAUUCAAAUUAAAAUAUUUGUUUUGACAAAAUUAUAUAAAAAGUCAUUUUUAAAUUUUCAAUUCACUUAAAUGAAUGAAAUAGUUGUGUUUCUUCUGCAGAUAGAACGCACAUGGUUAAAUUUUCUCUUCUGAUUAACGCCAUUUUGUGCGGUUCAUUUUGUGUUUAUGCGGAGACACAGUUAAGAUACUUUACUUGCAUUUAUAUUGAGAUUUUCAAAGAUUAGAAUUGUGCAUUACAGAUUACAUAAUUUCCAGAUGUAUUUCACGUGUGUAAUUUACUUUUUCACAUUAUUAGUUACUCUGCAUUCCGUUUUUAUUCCUAUGUAAUAUUUUCCACUUUUUGCACUUUGAUAUAAUAUAAAUUAUCCCAUAAAAAGACAAAUUACUUUUUUCAAUUUUUAAUUAGUAGCAGUUUCCCCAUUUAUGUGUAAACAGAUGGCCAGGGUUAGCAUGAAGUGGUCGAAGAUUUGCCUUUCAUUGGUGAAUUUAAGAACAGAUGUCAGCCCUCUUUAAUGAGCGAGAGGUCAGUCUCUGUAACAUCAGCUAUAAUUACUUACAUGAUUGUUGUAAUUUUGAAGUAUUCACAUUUAUUUGGUUGGUUCAUUUGUGGUAAUGUUGUAUGCGAUCUGUAAGUGUUGGUGAAGACAUACUGUUAGUAUAUUAUAACACUGUAAGGACUGUCGCAAAUGUAACACUAACUGUAGUGAUUCGUUGUUUUUAAACUGUAUUAGGUAUCUGUGAAAUUCAGUAGGAUUACAACGAUCCCUUUGGUGUCCAAAUUCAUGAGUCAGCUCGAUCAUUUCUUAACUCAGCUCAUCAGUGUUUUCAGAAAGAAAGGAGGAGCAGCAGGACAGUAGAUCAACCACAUCCUGUCAGUUAUGGAUCAGGAUGUCCCCAUCAAAAAAAAAGACAUGAAUACAUCCUAAAAGCCCUCGUUGUUUAUGUGAAUGAAGACCCCUCAAACCUUGUGAAGAAGUACAUGGAUGUUGAACAUGUUGAAGUCCAAACCUUGAUGCGCAACACCACCCUAGGAAUCUACGUCAUCAAACCCAAAUGGGCACAUGCCACAGACCCUUACCAAGAUGUUGGCAUCAUAGUUGAAUUCAUCAAAAUACUUGAAAACCUAAACAAUGUUGCCAAUGCAUGUUCUAUAAUGCUUGGUCUAAUUUAUUUAUUAAACUUGGCUUACCCGCAAGACUUCAGAUACACAUUUAAACAUUUCAAAAGCUUUUUAUGGAGCUAGAUGGCAACAAGCUGUCAAACAAGGUCCAUGUCCUGAAAAAUAAACUUCUUUUGUAAGUAUUAACUUGAGGUAAGGUUCAAGAGGUGGUACUUAUGUUUCCUCAAUGGGGUUACACGGUUGGCUUGUUACAGUACAUUUGUUCCAGGACUGACCAUGUUACACUUUUUUCAUUAUUGAUCUCAUUUUAAAUACGCUUUAUUUAUUUCCCAAUUUAAAGGAGGCACAGACUGCAAGAGAGACUUUUCACCCACCUGAUUUAAUUUAUAGGCAAUGCUUUUAAUUUUUUUAUUUUAGUAUGCUUUUAAUAAUAAGAAAAUGAAAAGCAGUUUUAAAGAUACAGAUUUUGAACAAAAUUUUUGUUGGACAUUUGUAAAAGGUAUGUUCUUAAAUGCAUUAAUUGCAUUUACAGUGUAUUAGUUUUGCUUAAAAUACUAAGAGAAAACGGUGAGACAGUACUGAGUUUUGCAAACCUCGAUGCGCAACACCACCCUAGGAAUCUACGUCAUCAAACCCAAAUGGGCACAUGCCACAGACCCUUACCAAGAUGUUGGCAUCAUAGUUGAAUUCAUCAAAAUACUUGAAAACCUAAACAAUAUUGCCAGUACUGAGUUUUGCACAUAUUCUUGUUAAAAAUGUGUAGAAUUAAACCCUACAGUAUGUUUAAGUUGCAAUAGGAGAAAACAGUGAGACAGUGUUCAAAAAAAAGUUAAUUAAAUCCAACAUAUUUUUGAAUGUAUCUACCAAAGUCUUUAAUGGGAAAACAAAUAUAAUCAACAAGCAUUUGCUAUUUUAAAAACGACAAAUAAUGAAGUAAAUAAUGUGCAACGUGUUUUGAAGAGGGAAAAAAAAAAAAAACAACACAGAAGAAGAAAGUAUGAAUAAUGUUGUAAUGAACACGGGACAGAGCGGACCCAAACGCAGGAUAGCUAAAACAAACAGGGUUUAAUAACAAAACACGAAACAUGACACGGACUAGAAACAGGACAAAACCACAGUAGAUGCCGCGCUGCACCAGGCAACGCGGCACAGUUAAAUAGACAAGGUAAUACAAUUGGAAACAGGUGUGUGGAAGCGGGCAGGAAGAGACAAGGGGCGGGGCAGACACGUGACGAUAAACAUAAACAAAUGCACGUAGCCGUAAACAAAUGCACGUACAAAAGUCCUGGCAGAGUCCUAACAAAUGUUAUUGAAAUAAUCGGUCCUUUUGAUCCAAAGCAUGAAAAAGCACAUUAAGGACCUCUUAAUUAAAGAACUUAAAGAAAUGAAAACUUUUUCUGAAGUUUGGAUAAACACAACAAAUUGUUUAGAAUAUGUCAUUCCCUCCAGUCUCAUCUUCCCUGUUUGUAUAAUUGAAUCAAUUUAGCAAUAAUUCAUAAGAUUAAAAUGUAUAUUGGUUCCUCAAAAUAUUAUAUCUUUAUCAAAAACAUUGUUCUGGAAAGACAAUGAACUGACAAACUGGAAUCCUGACCAUAAAUUUCAGGUUCAAUUCAAUAUUACAGAAUUCAUAUUUAAAUGUAAAGAAAAUAAGAAAAUAAGAGUAAAGCAGCCUGUAAUAUAAUAAAAAACGUUCUGAAUAUUCAGGCUUAGAAAUGUCAUACAGCAAGUGGCAUCAGAAACAUCGGUAAAGUUUGAGUCCACACUGAGAGCAGGGAUGAAGAAGAUGAUGGAGAUGAUUGGGAGCUCUGAUAUUCAUAAAGAUUACAGAGGAGUAUAAGAGAUGGUGGACUGUAAGCGUGGAUGAAUAUUUCAACAGACAUGUAGUUCCAUCUGAUAUAGAACACAUACAGGGCCUUUAUCCUAAACUGGAGUUUUUCUAGGUUGAUUUGGCGCAAUGCUUGAAUUUUCCUAAUGAGGAAUAUUUGGAAUAAAUCUCGUUAAUGCUAAUUUGUCCCUUUGUGAUUUAUUGUUUCUUUAACAAUAUUGUUUCUUUAAUGUUUACCAGUGUUUCUAGAUCUAAAACAUUAUUACUCGUCAUUAUUCUAAUUUUACAUAAAAUGUUUUAUCCUCCAAAUAGGUUUACAGUAAGUGCUCAAAGCUGAAGAUGAGCAUUAUUUUUAGAAUAACAGCACAACAGGUUUAUAUUAAUGCACUCUGGAGUACUGCAGACACUCCAGACUAGAAAUAAACAGAUUUUUGGAAUCGCUGAUGAGGUGAAGUUUUCUGUUUGGAUAUGAUUGUGUACCAUUUAGAAGAAGAAGAAGAAGAAGAAGAAGAAGAAGGAUUCUAGGCUUGCUUAAUGGAGCUAACACAUGCAUGGAUCUUUCUGAAGUCACAGACAUCACUGGCCAAAUAAGUGACACCAGACCAUGUAAUGCCCCCCACUGUGCCUAUGAAAACAUUUAAUUGCUCAUUUGCUGAGGAACCAGUAUCACCAGCUGUUUUGACAGAAAAUCACCAGCUGUUUUGACAGCUGUUUUGACAGAGCACUUUUUUUUGACAAAAAACCAACAAGGAGGCAGAUAUCCUGUAAGGGAGCGGCACGCAUGUCAGCGUUUCUUGGAUUAUACAUAGUCUGCACACACAGUAUACUGUAUAAACCUUCCUUCUCUCCAUUAUGUCCGCCAGCUCUCUACUUUUCCAUGUAAUUGUACCAACGAUAAUAGUCCCUAUUCGCAGACAUAUACUCUAGCCUUUGCUCUUCUGUCUCUGUCUACAAACCCUUCUCCCGCCUCUCCUUCCUUGACCAACAGUAGUCCAAUUUCUGCCGGCACUAUGUAGGUGGCGAUUGUUAUUAACCUGGGCCUCGACCGAUUCACACUGAUGCUUCAUAUGUUUAAGUUUGGCACGUUUUAUGCUGGAUACCCUUACUGACGCAACCCUCUCUAUUUAUUUGGGCUUGGGACCGGCACAGAAGUCAUUGGCUUGCAACACCUGUGGCUAGAUUAAAUAUAUUAAUAUUACUCUAGUGGUAUAAAUGAUUAGAGUGGAUCAGAGGGACAUAUUUAUAUGAAUAUGAAUUCAACUGAAUACAUUUUUUGUAAGCAAAUGUUUAUUGUUAAUAAAACAUAUAUAACUAUACAGUGAAUUCAUUGUGAAUGUGGAUCACUUUUCAUUGCUUUGACACAAAAAUCAAUAAAUAAAAUUUUAAGCAUUUAAAUAUCAUGAAUUCUUUUCUCCCACAAACUCAACCUGCAACAAAACUCUGUAACUACUGCAAACAGGUUUAUAUCCUGUUGUUAAAACCAACCUUUUUAUGUUUAAAAUCAGUUUUUUCCCACUCUUUUCCAGUUUUCCAUCCCGUAUCUGGGUGACAUUCCUCAAAGGUUUCCUCUGGGUUCUUCAGUAUGUUCUCCACGACUCUGCAGAAAAGUGACAAAAGAUUCAAACCAGCACAAUUCCACAUAAAUAAAAUAUUAUCAUCAACAUAAUUAUUUGCAAAAAUAAACAGAAGACAUUGUUGAUUUGGAUUUAAUACACUGUAGUGUUCCUGUGUGACUGAAUGACUCAUUUCAAUCAAUUCAGCACAUCGGCGUCUUUUUAAACUGUGUUGUCUUUGGAACUUUCCAUGUUUUCAAUAUCUUUUUGAAAUUACUACAGAAAUAAAACUGAAAUAUAAUCUAGGAUUUCUGAUUUAUUCCUGUAACAGAUGCUGUAGUAGAUUCUGUGUAGUAUUGUAGUAAUAACCCUAUUGGGUUACAAUAUAUCGCAGUUGAGGUUUUUUUUUAGCUCGCUGUGUCAUGAAUAAUGACACAGCCUUGCUCAGAGAGCUCCUUUGCUAGAGUUUGGAUAGUUUUUUAUUACGAUUUGGAUGACAGGAUCCUGACAGGAAGCAGGACAGGUGGCUUCUCCAGAUUAUGAUGUGAUCAGUAAAGCCUAUCAUCCUCAGUGAGCUCCCUGAACUGCAGUCCACCUAAAGAAGCAAUGCUGGACCAAGAUAGUGAUGGGGCUCAGACAAUCGAACAUCUCACUCCUCUUUCUGUUGUGGUCUGGGAAGCACUUCUGCUCCCUGAAGGCCAGAACAGAAAUAAUGAGAAAGAGCUUCUUCCCACAGGGAAAUCAGUUCUGGUCCUCAACCACAACAACAACAAAACCACAAGAGAUCUUGAACUUGUCUGAAACAGCACACACAACCUCAGCCUGGUUUUACACAGCAUACAUCAGCCCACAUCUGCACCAUAUUCAAAAUAACAACAUACUGUUUUUGCCACUAUUCUCUGUGUUUCAUGAAUUAAAAUUUUAUAUUUUCUUUUUAUUUUUAUUUACCUGUAUAUAAGUAAAUUCUAUUUAU